CACCAUGUACGACACGAAGUAAUUUUUCAGGUCGUUGCUUCCGAUCGGCAUCCGGCGCGACCGAUCGGACGUAGGCGCCGAAUUCUGUACUACGAUACGGAUGAUGUCGACGGCGAUGUGGUUGGCGUUGGUGUGGUUAGUUUUCGUGGUCGUUGAAGCGUGACGGGGAUCGCGAAGGGCCGGUCCGUAACCCUAUCCCUGAUCGAUGGCGACAGUUUGCGACGGUCUGUCGGUUCUCUUCCUACCGUAAUUCGGCGCUUUCGCCCCGUUGCUCUUCUAGAUUGGAAGAGACAUCACGCCUCUAUGAGAUGAUCUAAUGGAAGAAGAGUGCUCGAGUUUCAAGUCGAUGAUCGUGACUAGCUGCAGCGAGACGAAAUCGUUACUCGUGCUCGCAGAUAAUAAAUUAUAUAAAUUUCGCGAGAUAAAUCGCGAUCAACGGCGGCCAAGUAUCCAGUCACCUCUUUUGCCAGUAGAAAGAAGGGAUAGAUGGGAACGCAAAAUGAAACGAAUAAAGUCGAUGAAAAGAUAGAGCGUUGUCGUCGUCAUCGGGAGACAGGACGAGGGUGUGUAGGAAGAUGUAGGAGGAGAGAGACUAGAAAAUACAAGAGAGAAAGGGAGGGAGGGCAAACACGAAGAAUGCCACGGCAAUCGUAAUGGGUUUGCAGUAGUGGCAACGGCAGCAGCAGUAACGCUGUUGCAGGUAAUAACCAUCGCGUAUAUAACGACACGAUGAGUCGUGGGUAGCUCUCGGCCGAUGGACUCGGGGCCCCUCGACGGCUUUCACGAGGUUCCCUAGUUUCUGCCCGCGGUGUACCGAAUGCACGAUCCUUCCGAGCUUGAUUACCCGAACCCUUUUACCACGAAGAUGGGCAACGAGACAGUCAUGGAGGAAUCUUCGCGCCGCACAUUCCAAUAGUGAUCAUAUAAUUCCUCUUAUCGUUAUCUAAUUAAUUAUUUAUUUUGAGUUAAAAUAUCUCGCGUGGCACGUGAUGUAAUAUCGGGAAUUAUUUGCUAAAGUAUAUUGUAUAUAAAUAAUACGUGAGAUGAAUAUUA